CGGCUCCGGCCCCGGCCUCCGGCCCAACCCCGCCCGAAAAAGAAUUAUGCUAGCGGAUAGUCGGGAGGCAGUGUGGUGAAGUGGAAAGAGCUUGGCGCUGGGGGUCACAAGGCCUGAUACUAGUCUCAAUUCUUGUCCCUCACCUGUGACCUUGGCUAAGAUGUCGGCUCCUGCCGCUCCCGGUGCUUCGUCCAUUCCAUCCGCUCCUCCGUCUUAUGAAGAGACAUUGGCAUUCAGCAGUUGUUACCCUCCCCCUGUUCCUGGAACUGUCCCUGGAGUGUGGUCAGGGGCGGAUGCCAAGGGGGUAAACCCUCCCGCCUACUAUCCCCAGCCGGUGCCAGCACCUAAUCCAAAUGCGAUCACCGUUCAGACCGUCUAUGUGCAGCAGCCAGUCUCAUAUUUUGAUCGUCCUGUCCAGAUGUGCUGCCCUUCUUGUAACAAGAUGAUAGUGACGCACCUCUCCUACAAUGCAGGGGCCCUAACAUGGCUGUCGUGCGGUAGCCUCUGCCUGUUGGGGUGUGCAGCUGGCUGCUGUUUCAUUCCAUUUUGUGUGGAUGCCCUUCAGGAUGUGGAUCACUACUGUCCAAAUUGCAAAGCUCUCCUUGGUACCUAUAAACGAUUGUAGGACCAGGAUGAAAAUAUGGUAAAGAUCUGUGUAAAAGAGGGGGCUUUGCCCCCGUUUCAACUCCAAUUUGAACCUCACCCAGUCCAGCACAUGGCGGUGUUCUGCUUUUGCAGUUGAAAUUCUCCAGGGUACUUUACUGAGUCCUUUAAAGAGGUGAGGGGGAAGAGUCAAAAGAAUAAACCUUCAAAUCCCAGAGAGUGCUGCUUGAAGGAUCUCAAAGGAGUUGCAGAGACUUUUCCCUCUAGAAUGCUGGUUCCACUGUAAACUGCCCACGAGUCACCCGAAAUCGCCCCCCCCCCCAUAGCUGCUUAUCAGUUUAUGCAUAAAUGAAUUGGUGAUUUAUAGUUGGCAGGCCCCUCCGCCUCCACAAUUAGCACCCUUGUUUGCAGUCUUAACAGAGAAGUCAAGGGCUGCUUUGUUUCCGAGAUCCAACCAGACAGAAUCAACUGUUGUGUUCGGGGUGAGCCCUUCGUAGUGGAUCUGCUAAGGAUGAAUCUUGCUCUGUGGAUCUUAGCGAGCUGUGGUCUCUGAUGCUGUCAAUCUGGCACUUUUUAUGAGCACAAACAUUCACUUUAUCUUUAAAAUUGGUGUGUGUGUUUUUUGCGUGUGUAUGUGAGUGUUUUUUGGUGUUUUUUUUUUUUUAAGGGGAGGGAAGGCAAAGACCAAAUGACCUUUUACAUAGGGCACUUUGCCAUCUGACUCACGUGCAUUCCGGAAAGCACGUCAGAAGUGGGAUUUAUUCUUGAUUCCUCUUUUCCUAGGUUUGGGUGAAUGGCCAGACCUGUAACACCAUGGACAUAAAGGUGUUUAUGUACAGGAGUUUAUUUUCAUAUUACACAGCUUAGAAAUCCUUUGUUAAAAAAAAUACCUGCUGUUACAUCAUUUCCGAAAACAGGUUUCUCUCAAAGAAGACUGGCGGGCCCAAUCGCAAUAGCCAUGCGAAAGAUGCGUUAUUACAUAGCCUAGUGCUGAGGCCUUUUUUCUGUGAAUAUAGAAACAAAUGAAAAACUUACCCACUGCCUUUAAUUUGAUCCAACAUGGACCUCUCAGUCACCUGAUGAUUUUUUUAAAAAGCGACCAAAAUUACAAAUCAGAAUCCCUUUUGUAGUGCUCAAGGUAUUUUGGGGGUUAGGUAUGGGAAAGCAUAUUUUUAUUUUAUAAAUAGAUUUCUUAGAAUACAUUUUUUGCAGGUGGCAGUCUGCAUUAUAGCUAGAGAGCCCAACCACCUGGUUGGGUUUUAUUUUUACCAAUCCAAUUUAUGGCAUCAGCUUGGAAGACACGGUUUACAAUACCCAAGUGCCAAGACGGAAUUCUUGCGUCAGAGCCGUGUUCUGUUUGAAGUAAAGCUCAGAUAUGGUGUCCAGUUGUACAGUCCCUCAUUCUUCUGAUAUUCACCAAAGCCAAGAAAGCAUCUGGAUAAUUUUCAUCUAGGAAAGCCAAACAUGGAAGUGAAAUUCAAAUCUGGACAUUGAUUCAGAAAUUAUAUUUGUUUUCAGCAGUACCGUGUAUCUUUAUGACUGCAUUGUGUAAUUACAUGAAGUUUCUAAAGUAAUUUUCAAAAAUGACUGUUGACUUUUGAGACUUACUCUUCUACAUAUUUGAAAAAGUACCUUUACUUGCUAUUUUCCUCACUUUAAAGGCUCUUUUCGUUCAUGCGAUGAACAGUUUUAAAAGCUUUCUCAUGCUUUGCAGAAAGGAUAAGUUGUACUGUAGUGGAAAGUAUUUAGGGAUGAAGAGUUCAGACUUGCCAAAUCUCUUAAAACGUAUCCUUCAAGAUUCUUGGUGUGGUGGGAAAAGUUAACGGACUGUAACAUUCAGCUCCAGGAUUGUCAAGCCCUGGUCCCAGUUUAAGCACACGGAAAACCACAAAGCCAUAUGGAAGAAGAGAGUCUCCAUGGUUCUUCAAAAACAAGGCUCUUCUUUAUCAGUCCGAGACAGUUGUGUAUGGCCGAGACAACAGUGACUGAAUUUGGCCCACCCUCACUAUGUUUCCAGCUGUUUUCCACUGCUGGAGAAUACAAGUUCAUUUUAAUGGUGCAAGAAAAUCACGAAUCAUCUCUUGAUCUCUUGGGUUGUCAUGGAGGCUCUUACAGUUGAUCAUUCUCCAACCCGCAGUCUAUUAAUACUAGGGUCGGAUCUCAACCUGAUUCCUCCCCCAAGCUUCCCUGGGCUGUUGCUGAAGCUCUUACCACCCUUACCCCAGCUUCUCUCCUUUCCGCUCCCUUCACAUUACCACUGCCCUUCCCCAAUCAUUUGACAGGGACGUCAAUUUCUUUCAUUUCAUAAGUCCACCUUGAUGAUGUGUAAUGACCCUAUUAUGCUAUUGUUGUUCCAAAUAUUAUUGGUAAAUAGAUUGUAAACUCAACGACAAGGGCUGUCUUUUUUUUUCUCACUAUUCUUCCAGGUGCCUCCAACAGAUUCCUCUGUAAAUGCUAAAGUUGAUGAUUUAAGACCCUGGAAGCUGAGGUCAUUCAAGUGGUCAUUCUGAUGCUUUGUGUUCGGGCAAUUUCCAGAAAGUUUGCAUUAGAUCUAUUGUCUCACACAUGUCUCAUGUUGUAUCAUAAGCCUAAGUGUCUUCUCUUUAAGGUUUUCUGUUUGACUCUUUGCCUUGUGGAGUAUGAAAUCUCUUCCAUUUUUCCUUGGUAUAAGAACUUGCUUUGUAUGAAUGUUAUAAAAGAAUGGAAAUUUGCAUUUUUUUCUUACAAAUUCUGAUUUCUACUUUGGAUUUUAUUAAAGUUAUCUCCUGGUUUUAUUACUAAAUCCA